rnacentral:rRNA from 1 species
GAUGAACGCUGGCGGCGUGCCUAAUACAUGCAAGUCGAGCGAACGGACGAGAAGCUUGCUUCUCUGAUGUUAGCGGCGGACGGGUGAGUAACACGUGGCUAACCUACCUAUAAGACUGGGAUAACUUCGGGAAACCGGAGCUAAUACCGGAUAAUAUUUUGAACCGCAUGGUUCAAAAGUGAAAGACGGUCUUGCUGUCCCUUAUAGAUGGUUCCGCGCUGCAUUAGCUAGUUGGUAAGGUAACGGCUUACCAAGGCAACGAUGCAUAGCCGACCUGAGAGGGUGAUCGGCCACACUGGAACUGAGACACGGUCCAGACUCCUACGGGAGGCAGCAGUAGGGAAUCUUCCGCAAUGGGCGAAAGCCUGACGGAGCAACGCCGCGUGAGUGAUGAAGGUCUUCGGAUCGUAAAACUCUGUUAUUAGGGAAGAACAGAUGUGUAAGUAACUGUGCACAUCUUGACGGUACCUAAUCAGAAAGCCACGGCUAACUACGUG